AAUUUAAAUAGUUUAACAAAAACAUUGGUCUUGUAAAUCAAAAAUAAGAUAUUAUUUUCUUUUUAAAUA
rnacentral:tRNA from 1 species